UACGUAGGGCGCAAGCGUUUAUCCGGAAUUAUUGGGCGUAAAGAGCUCGUAGGCGGUUUGUCGCGUCUGCCGUGAAAGUCCGGGGCUCAACUCCGGAUCUGCGGUGGGUACGGGCAGACUAGAGUGAUGUAGGGGAGACUGGAAUUCCUGGUGUAGCGGUGAAAUGCGCAGAUAUCAGGAGGAACACCAAUGGCGAAGGCAGCUCGCUGGGACGGUACUGACGCUGAGGAGCGAAAGCAUGGGUAGCAAACAGG
rnacentral:rRNA from 1 species